CUGUAGCAGGACUAAGAGAUGCUUAUUACCCAACGGUCAACUGUUUGCUUCGACCGCACAGGCAUCUGUGAAAUAAACCUUUUUCAGCGCUACAAAUUUUCCUCUGCAACCUGUCACUACCAUCGGAAAUCAAACUGGUCCCACAAGAAGGAAUAUUAAAUAUCUCAAGGAACUGAGUGUAUAUAUAAUUUUCUCUCCGUAUACAGUAGUUUUGGGAUCAAAAACUAGGAGCAAAUGUGGUUUCAAGUAGUGUUUCAUGUCGUUUCCUUAUCGUUGCUUUUGGACAGAUGUGUUGCAGGAUUUCCAAGCCAGAUAAACAUAGGGGGACUUUUCAUGCGAUCUAUGGUUCAGGAGCACAGCGCCUUUAGAUUUGCUGUGCAGCUGUACAACACCAAUCAGAAUGUGACAGAGAAACCUUUUCAUCUGAAUUAUAAUGUCGACAAUCUGGAGUCUUCCGCCAGCUUUUCUGUCACUCAUGCGUUCUGUUCACAGUUCUCCAGAGGAGUAUAUGCUAUCUUCGGGUUCUAUGACAAGAUGUCCAUGAACACGCUGACCUCCUUCUGCGGCGCACUCCACACGUCCUUUGUAACACCCAGCUACCCCACAGAUACGGACGUACAGUUUCUCAUCCAAAUGCGGCCAUCACUGCAGGGGGCUGUCCUAAGUCUGCUGGCUUACUACAAGUGGGAAAAGUUUGUCUACAUUUAUGACACGGAAAGAGGCCUCUCAGUUCUACAAGCCAUAAUGGAGUCAGCGAUGACAAAUAACUGGCAAGUGACGGCACGGUCUGUAAUGAGCAUCGUAGACGCAGAAGAGUAUAGAAGAAUCAUGGAGGAGAUGGACAGGAGACAAGAGAAGUAUUUCUUGUUGGACUGCAAAGUGGAAAGGAUAAAGACGAUUCUGGAUCAGGUUGUAGCGCUUGGGAAGAACAGCCGAAACCACCAUUACAUUCUGGCUAAUCUGGGUUUUUCCAAUAUGAGCCUGGACAAGGUCAUUGCCGGGGGAGCCAACAUAACUGGGUUUCAGAUAAUUAACCCCGAGAAACCCAUCGUACGACAGUUCCUCCAGCGCUGGAAUCAUCUGGAUGAAAGAGAAUUUCCAGAAGCGAAAGGCACGCCUCUGAAGUAUACGUCAGCGUUAACCCAUGAUGCGAUUUUGGUGAUUACGGAAGCAUUUCGUUACUUGCGACGGCAGAGGAUUGACGUGUCCCGGAGGGGUAAUCCUGGAAACUGCCUUGCCAAUCCCGCUGUACCCUGGAGUCAAGGCACUGACAUCGAGAGAGCCUUAAAAAUGGUUCAGGUGCAGGGCAUGACAGGAAAUAUUCAGUUUGAUACUUUUGGCCGAAGGUCCAACUACACUAUUGAUGUAUACGAGAUGAAGACAGAGGGAAGACAAAGGAUUGGCUACUGGAAUGAGUAUGAAAGAUUUGUAUAUAUAAUGAAUCAACAAGUCUCCAACGAGUCAUCUUCUGUGGAAAACCGAACAAUUGUGGUGACUACUAUUAUGGAAGCUCCCUAUGUGAUGUUCAAGAAAAAUUAUUUACAUCUGGAAGGGAAUGACAAAUAUGAAGGCUACUGUGUUGAUUUAGCUUCUGAAAUCGCUAAACACGUGGGGAUAAAAUACAGACUGUCUGUUGUGAUGGAUGGGAAGUAUGGAGCCAGAGACCCGGACACCAACGCCUGGAAUGGGAUGGUGGGCGAGCUUGUAUAUGGACGAGCUGAUAUUGCUGUUGCUCCGUUAACUAUAACGCUGGUACGAGAAGAAGUCAUUGACUUUUCUAAGCCAUUUAUGAGCCUGGGAAUCUCAAUCAUGAUUAAGAAGCCCCAAAAGUCUAAGCCUGGAGUGUUCUCCUUCCUCGACCCCCUGGCCUAUGAGAUUUGGAUGUGCAUAGUAUUUGCCUAUAUUGGAGUGAGCGUGGUGCUGUUCUUGGUGAGUCGCUUCAGCCCUUAUGAGUGGCGUUUGGAUGACAGUGAUGAGGGUAAAGACUGUCAGACUGCACCGGACCCACCGAAUGACUUUGGAAUCUUUAAUAGUCUCUGGUUCUCCCUGGGAGCCUUUAUGCAGCAAGGAUGCGAUAUUUCACCAAGAUCAUUGCCAGGGAGGAUUGUGGGUGGUGUUUGGUGGUUCUUCACCUUAAUUAUAAUUUCAUCCUACACUGCCAAUCUAGCUGCUUUUCUGACCGUGGAAAGGAUGGUCUCUCCUAUCGAGAGUGCUGAAGACCUUUCCAAACAAACAGAGAUUGCCUAUGGCACACUGGAUUCAGGCUCCACCAAAGAGUUUUUUAGACGUUCAAAAAUAGCAGUUUAUGAAAAGAUGUGGUCAUACAUGAAAUCAGCUGAACCCUCUGUGUUCGCCAAGACAACACCUGAUGGAGUCGCCCGUGUACGGAAGUCAAAGGGCAAGUUUGCAUUUCUUCUCGAGUCGACUAUGAAUGAAUACAUUGAGCAGCGCAAACCAUGCGAUACAAUGAAGGUUGGAGGCAACCUCGACUCUAAAGGCUAUGGUGUGGCUACUCCGAAAGGCUCACCGUUAGGAAAUGCUGUUAACCUGGCAGUUUUAAAACUGAAUGAGCAAGGCCUCUUGGACAAAUUGAAAAACAAAUGGUGGUACGACAAGGGAGAGUGCGGCAGUGGGGGAGGAGAUUCCAAGGUCAGCCCCAGAGCUACCAUAGUCAGGUACCAUUGUGGAGUAAUCGGCAACGCUGGUAUCACCUGACUACCUCUGCAGCACAUCAUGACCUUAAAGCUGUCUGUAUUUUCUCUUUAUUGCACCACUGAGUUUCAACCAGGAACCCUUACUUGGAAAAUGAAGUAAAUAAAUGGCAUUAAAUGGAUUUCUGUAGGCAGUAUUACGGAGUAUUUUAAAAAAUAUAUAUGUUAUUUAAGUCCUUAUGUUUCUUAUUUUAUGUAUAUAUGCAUACUGUAUUUAUUUACCUAAACAGAUGUUUUAUCACCAUGUGCAAAACAAAUAUAUCGUAAUUCUUUUGUUCUUUAGGGAGUUGUCUGUAGAUAUAUCACAUUUGAGUUUUAGAGAUUUGGAGCAUUACAAGAUUAUAUGAUAUUUCUAAUUACAGAAAAACAAAGUUAGCUACAUCUAGACAUUUUAACAAGCUUUGCUAAUCUUACAAAGACACUAAUGUCUAUUCAACCAUCCAUCCAUUUUCUGAAACUGUCUGUCCUAUUCAGUAUUGCAAAUUAUAAACUUGAGUCUCAUUUGGACAAUUUAGGUUAUGAAAAAAUAAAAAUUAGGGUAUAAACAGCUAUUUUCCAGUGUUAAAGAUGCAGAUAAAAUCCUAGUAUGUGUUCAGUUCCCAUCAGUUACUAAACUGGAGUUUGUUCGGUGUCAAAUGUUCUCAGUGAAGCCCCAUUUGUGACGUGUUCAGUAAGGCUGCCAUUGAACUAGGUAAGAAGGCGUCAGUGGUGUGGGAUUACGUUUUGCUGAUUUAUGUCUGACACGUUUUUUUAAAAAAUAUAUAGUUUUCAUUUUUUAUUUCAGUUCACAAAUUAUUUUCUUUUAUUUAGUGCCCUUUAUUCUGGCAGUCCAGAAUAGCACCUGUGUGUUUUCUCUCUAGGCACUUGAUUUAAAAUAUCAAUGUUGACACAUUUUCAGCAUCGACAUCAUCGACUAUGUCGACUAAUCGUGGCAGCCCUAGUAUUCUGUGUUCCCUCAUGUUUGUUUCAAGUGUUUCAAGUCCUUGUUAGUUCUCUAGUUACUUGCCUGCCUGUUGUCUAGACCCCUUGAGGUCCUGUUCUGUUUCCACUUCUUUUGAACUAAGUUCCCUGUGCCUAUAACCCACAUUGUGGACCAUGGAUUAUGUAUCAUCGUGACCUGCACAAAAUAUAAUUUUUCAUGCAUCCAUAGUUAUGAUCUAUGCUAAUAUAUGAAUUGUUUAGUUUCAAUUGAUAAAUUUUCUGUAUUUGCAUGAUUUGUUAAUAGGUUUAUUCACCAGUCAUACAAUUUUAUUUAACUGAAUUAAUAUCUGACUAAUUUCUGGAUUGUUAGUCUCUCAUCCAUCCAUCCAUCCAUUAAAGGGGUGAGGGUGAAGGACCACUAAAUGGCAUCAGAGUGUAUCACAGGACACACACUCACAUACAUAGACUGGCAUCCCAUCCUACAAGCCCCUUACCAUGUUCCCUGUGUACCCUGAAGCUAAUAAGCAGUUAUGAAUGAGUUUCAAAGCACUAUGCAUUAAAACAAAAACAGGAAUAUGAAAGUAAAUUGCUAAUUUCAGGAAUUUUCCUCAUCAAUGCCAGUUACAAUGUGUUGAAUCUCUCCCAGUAAGUUGUCUGUUGCCUUGUGCACAUUUUUUCCUCCGGAAGGAACAGCUGCCAUUUUCAUUGGUUCUCAUCUGUUACUUAAGGAAGGGUUCCUGCUAGAUCAAAUUUCUGGUUUAAAAUAUCCACGUGUAAUUACUGAUAGUGUCCCCUGUUGAUUUCGCAUGGUGCGCUGCUUUCUAACAGUGUGUGCCGAUUACUAAAAGCGAUAUGAGUGGGCCCUGGUACCUAGCUUUCGGUCUACUGUAUAAUGGGCAUUGUAUUCACUGUUAUUUAUAGGGACAGGGUCCUGCUUUAUCGCUUAUAAAUCUGAUGUUAUACAUUGGAUAACAUAAAUAACAUUAUAACAAGAUAAUGUUAUUUAUAUUAUUUCCCAUGUGAAGAAUUCCUGUAAGCCUUGAAACGUAAUGAACAAGUCAUCUUAAACAAGCUGGUGGUAUGAUAAUGGUGAAUGUGGAACCAAGGAGUCUGGGAGUGAGGACAAGACAAGUGCUCUAAGUCUUAGUAAUGUAGCAGGAGUGUUCUACAUUCUGGUCGGUGGGCUUGGUCUGGCUAUGACAGUGGCUUUGAUAGAGUUCUGCUACAAGUCCCAAGCUGAAACCAAAC